GCUGCUGGAGUGUCAGGACAAACUGGAGCAGAAGGCAUUGCAGGACUGGAGGGCCCAUAACGUACACGUAGUGAGCAUGGACAACUCGGACCCCUCGAUCUACCGGAAAGAGUCAUGCAUCUGCUGCAUAUGUUGUUCCUGUAUGAUCAACACACAACAAGCACAGCCCUGCAACCUAUUAAAGGGAUACAGACAGAACAGAUGAAAAAAUGCACUUGACGAUCUCUGUGACGAGGAUGACUGGCUGGUGUUUGACCAGUGAACAGCUCCA